UACGUAGGGUGCGAGCGUUAAUCGGAAGUACCGGGCGGAAAGCGUGCGCAGGCGGCUAUGUAAGACAGGUGGGAAAUCCCCGGGCUCAACCUGGGAAUUGCAUCUGUGACUGCAUAGCUAGAGUACGGUAGAGGGGGAUGGAAUUCCGCGUGUAGCAGUGAAAUGCGUAGAUAUGCGGAGGAACACCGAUGGCGAAGGCAAUCCCCUGGACCUGUACUGACGCUCAUGCACGAAAGCGUGGGGAGCAAACAGG
rnacentral:rRNA from 1 species